UCGGGAAUAUUGGACAAUGGGCGCAAGCCUGAUCCAGCAAUACCGCGUGUGUGAAGAAGGCCUGCGGGUUGUAAAGCACUUUCAGUUGGGAAGAUAAUGACGUUACCAACAGAAGAAGCACCGGCUAACUCCGUGCCAGCAGCCGCGGUAAUACGGAGGGUGCAAGCGUUAAUCGGAAUUACUGGGCGUAAAGCGUGCGUAGGCGGCUGAUUAAGUCAGAUGUGAAAGCCCCGGGCUUAACCUGGGAACUGCAUCUGAUACUGGUCAGCUAGAAUGUGGGAGAGGAGAGUGGAAUUUCCGGUGUAGCGGUGAAAUGCAUAGAGAUCGGAAGGAACACCAGUGGCGAAGGCGGCUCUCUGGACCAACAUUGACGCUGAGGCACGAAAGCGUGGGGAGCAAACAGGAUUAGAUACCCACGUAGUCCCUGAGCGGGCUGGCAAGGCGCAU
rnacentral:rRNA from 1 species